ACACAUGCCACUCGUCUUGCGAGGUAUGACAUGCACAUUACCAGGAGGGUUGAAAACUGGCAUUGUAGGGAGAACAGGGAGUGGUAAAACAACUCUCAUACAAACACUUUUCCGCAUAGUUGAACCUGCAGCAGGUCAGAUUAUAAUUGAUGGCGUUAAUAUCUCAUCAAUUGGACUGCAUGAUUUGCGGUCAAGACUCAGCAUCAUCCCUCAGGAUCCUACCAUGUUUGAAGGGACUAUACGGAGUAAUUUGGAUCCUCUUGAAGAGCACUCAGACGAACAGAUUUGGGAGGUGGGUUCAUUUCAUUUUGAUUACGAGAGAAAAGCUUUUCUGGUCUGUACCAUUUAUUUUCGAAUAAAAUGCUGUGUUUAUGAUUGGUAUUUGAAGUGUGAUAUGUAUUGAUGUAUGUUUUGAUUUUUUAAGGCAGUGGAUAAGUGCCAACUUGGGGAUGGAGUUAGAAAGAAGGAAGGCGGGCUAGAUUCUUCAGGUCUGAUCUUCUAUCAUAUAACAUACAAGUCGGAUGUCAUGCAAGUUGUUUAAAAUCUACUACUAAAUUCAACUGUUUAAAGAAAUGUUGAAGUAUUAUAACAUUGCUUCCGCAGUUACCGAGAAUGGAGAGAAUUGGAGCAUGGGACAGAGGCAGCUGGUCUGUCUCGGGCGUGUGCUGCUCAAGAAAAGUAAGAUCCUAGUGCUUGAUGAAGCUACGGCAUCAGUUGAUACAGCUACCGAUAAUCUGAUUCAGACAACCUUAAGGGAGCACUUUUCUGACUGUACAGUCAUAACAAUUGCACACCGGAUCACUUCUGUUCUUGACAGUGAUCUGGUUCUGCUUCUAAGCCACGGUUAGCACGGUUGUGUUAUCUAUCAUUUGCUUGUAGGAUCCUUUGAACUUCAUUUCGUUUAAAACUAUGUUUAACUGUCGCAGGACUUGUCGAAGAAUACGAUUCUCCCGCUAGAUUGCUGGAAAACAAGUCUUCAGCUUUCGCACAGCUUGUAGCCGAGUAUACUGUGAGAUCAAAUUCAAGCCUGGAGAAGUUCGACUGAAUUAGAUGAUCACGAAAAAUAUAUGUUUGGUACUCAUUGGGAAUGUUUUGUACAAGACAAGCCUAGUAGUGUUCUUGGCUUCAAUAAACACUAGUUGUAUAUUUUCCUUUUCUCUCUUCUAUCAGUCUGCCAUUAUUAAGUUACAAAGAAUUUUUAAGACAUAUGUUCGGGCAAUUAGACGUUAACAAAAUUAAUGUAAAAAAAUUGUCAAAAACACGUGCGAAGAAAAAAAGUUUAUUAAUAUAAAGUCAACAAUUGGGUGGUGGGCCUUCACACGUCCAUUAAUGGGGCCCAUUUCAAAAAGAGAGUGUCCAGAUGAGUAUCCCCCAAGUUUUCGUUGUGAGCAAUGAGCAUACAAGUCGAAGCAAAACUGUGGGGUUUCAGUACGGCGCCGUUUUAAUUGUCUCUUUCCGGUUUUUGGGCAGACGGGCUGGAUUUGAGUCUUCGGUUUGGUUCACCGCCAGGUGUCAAUACAAUGACGGUUGGAAAUUCCAACGGUUUUUUGUUAGAGUUUCCCGGGUUUUUUUUUGUUCCUACUAAUUUACUAUUUUGUGGUUUGAGAAAUAUUUUAAAAUUGUUUUAAAUUUAUUUAUAAUAAAUAAAAAAGACCUUUGAUACCCACAAUUAUUAUUGUUUUGAGUUAUUUUCAAAUUAACCAACGAAAAUAAUUUUUGCUAAAAAGGGUCAUUAAUAUUUUUUAAUGAGUAAAAAGGGUCAUUAGGUUUAAAAUAAUAAUAAAAGAAUAUUUUUUUAUUUAUUUCUAAAAAUUAUUAAAAUAAUUAAAACUUAGCAACUUUUAACAGGUUCAUAGGAUCAGAUUAUGAUAAUCUUCAUGGAUAAAUGAAAGAAAAAUUAAUUCUUGAAUUAAAAAACAAAGGUUUGUUUUUUUCUUUGUUGAUAAUGCAAAAGUUCUGGUAAAAAUUUCAUUGCAAAAGAGGAGUUUUUUUGGGUUAAUUUCUAUUUCCCUCACUACAGAAUCACUCUCACUCUCUAUAUCUCUUCAGCUGUGUGUCUCUUAUGUUUUGUCUCUCUCUCUCUUUCAAAGAUCAAAACUUUCUCGGAAAGCCUCCAAGUUUUUUGUUUUUGGUCUCUCUUUUGAGGCUUAAGCCUCCCUUCCCUUUGCUCUCAUGCCGUCUCUCAAGUCUUGGUCUCCACGCAUAUCCCUUCCCCAAGUAAUCUUCCUUUGACUCUCUUCUUUUGUGUCCCUGUCUUGACUGUAACACUCCUUUAAGUCUCGUUUAUAUAUAAACUCAAAAACAAGCAAAAGUAUCUUCCAACAACACUGUAGUCCAAAAUUUUUCUUGAGUAAAAAGUCCAUAAAGAAUGAAACUUUUUGCUUCAGAAUCAUCUUUGCUAAUGAGUUCAGCUUCUAGUUUUCAUUUUCUCCUAAAACCCAUGUUUCUUCAUGGGCUUUCUGCUUCAUUGCACCUACUUUUAUUGCUUUUCUUGCUAGUCUUAUGGUUUGUGGACAGAGUUAAAGAAGCUGGCAGGGAAGGAUCGAAGGAAAGGAUAAGGCAAAGGAAGGUUUUAUGGUAUAAGCAAACUUUAGCUUGUUGUUUUAUUGUUUCAGCUUUCAACACUGUCUUGUGUUUGUUAAGUUAUUUUUAUUGGUAUAGAAAUGGUUGGUCUGAGGAUAAGUUAGUGACUCUUUCUGAUUAUGUGGUAAAAACACUUGCUUGGGGUGCAACGUGUGUUUAUUUGCAUUAUCAGUUCUCCCAUUCUGGUGAACAAAAGAAGUUCCCAUUUUUAUUGAGAAUUUGGUGGGGUUUUUAUUUUUCCAUUUCUUGUUAUUGUCUUGUUAUAGACGUUGUUCGUUACAAAGAACAUGUUUCUUUCCCAAGUCAGUAUUUAGUAUCCGAUGUUUUUUCUGUUAUUACUGGUUUGUUCCUAUGUAUUGUGGGGUUUUUUGGAGGAACUGAAGGUGAAGAUACCCUCCUUGAGGAGCCCCUUUUGAAUGGAGAUUCUAGUGUAGGUAAUGGUGUAGAGUUGAGUAAGAAAAAAAGAGGUGAUACUGUAACCCCAUAUUCAAAUGCUGGUAUUUUCAGCAUUCUUACAUUUUCUUGGAUGGGGCCUCUUAUUGCUGCUGGCAGUAAAAAACCUUUAGACCUUGAGGAUGUUCCUCAGCUAGAUAGCAGUGAUAGUGUUGUUGGCGCUUUUCCAAAUUUUAGAAACAGGCUCGAGUCAGCUGACAGUGAGGGGAGUGGAGUUACCGCGUUUAAGCUGGUGAAGGCACUGUUCUUCUCAGCUUGGAAAGAUAUUCUUUGGACAGCUUUGUUAGCGUUUAUGUACACUGUGGCUUCAUAUGUUGGCCCAUAUCUCAUUGACACUUUUGUUCAGUACCUGAAUGGGCAGCGGGAGUUUAAAAAUGAGGGGUAUCUUCUGGUUAUGGCUUUCUUUGUUGCAAAGCUAGUAGAGUGCUUAUCUCAGAGGCGCUGGUAUUUUAAGUUGCAGCAAGUAGGAAUUAGGCUGAGAGCAGUACUGGUAGCAAUGAUUUAUAACAAGGGUCUAACCCUUUCGUGCCAGUCAAAGCAGAGCCACACCAGUGGGGAGAUCAUCAAUUUCAUGACUGUCGAUGCAGAGAGGGUGGGUGAGUUUAUUUGGUACAUGCAUGAUCCAUGGAAGGUAGUUUUGCAAGUUGCUUUGGCGUUGUUGAUCUUGUAUAAAAAUCUUGGACUAGCAUUCAUUGCAACUUUUGUUGCAACAGUGCUUGUUAUGUUGGCAAAUAUUCCUUUGGGGAAAAUGCUAGAAAAGUUUCAGGAUAAGUUGAUGGAAGCUAAAGAUAAAAGGAUGAAGGCAACAUCAGAAAAUUUGAGGAACAUGAGAAUUCUCAAACUUCAAGGGUGGGAAAUGAAGUUUCUGUCAAAGAUUAUUGGGCUCAGGAAUGUUGAGGAAGAAUGGUUAAAAAGAUUUGUUUAUACAAGUGGCAUCACUGGUUUUGUUUUCUAUGUUGCACCCACAUUUGUGUCUGUAGCCACUUUUGGUGCUUGUAUUCUUUUAGGAGUCCCACUUGAAUCAGGGAAGAUCCUAUCUGCACUUGCAACAUUCAGGAUUCUUCAAGAGCCAAUCUACAGUCUUCCUGACACAAUUUCAAUGAUAGCUCAGACAAAGGUGUCUCUUGAUAGAAUUGCUUCCUUCCUUCGCCUUGAUGACUUGCAGCCUGAUGUUAUAUGGAGGCUUCCAAAAGGUAGUUCUGAUACUGCAAUUGAGAUUGUUGAUGCGAAUUUCUCUUGGGAUUUCUCUUCUGCUACUGGAACGCUAAAAGACAUAAAUUUGAAAGUUUUCCAUGGUAUGAGGGUUGCUGUUUGUGGUACAGUUGGCUCUGGCAAGUCGAGUUUGCUUUCCUGUAUUUUGGGGGAAUUACCCAAGAUAUCUGGAACUCUUAAAUUGUGUGGUACAAAGGCCUAUGUUGCUCAGUCGCCUUGGAUACAAAGUGGCAAGAUUGAAGAGAACAUAUUGUUUGGCAAGGAGAUGGAUAGGGAGAGGUAUGACAGAGUGCUUGAAGCUUGUAGCCUCAAUAAAGAUCUUGAAAUCCUCUCAUUUGGUGAUCAGACCAUUAUAGGUGAGAGGGGAAUCAAUUUGAGCGGUGGGCAGAAGCAAAGAGUACAGAUUGCACGUGCUUUAUACCAAGAUGCUGAUAUCUAUCUCUUUGACGAUCCAUUCAGCGCUGUGGAUGCGCACACAGGAUCUCAUUUAUUUAAGGUAACAUCUUUUCUUCUCUGAUACGAUGGCAUGUAGUUUAAAAGUUACUUUGAAUCUAUGCAGAAAGCUAUACUGCUCUAUCUACGGUAAUUAAUUGAACUACUAACAUUUGCACUUUUGUCAGCUGCUUAUUUGAGCUUUCUUCUUCAGUUGGUGCUUUGCCUGAGUAAUUGUUUAAUCUUUGAAUGAUAGGAAGUUUUACUAGGCAUUUUGAGUUCAAAAACAGUGAUUUAUGUCACUCAUCAAGUUGAGUUUUUACCAGCUGCUGAUCUAAUCUUGGUAAGCUAUUUACAUUUUCAGUGUUUUUAAUCCUACUCCUUGGAGGGUAGGCAAUAAUAUAACUACUGGAUUCAACUUGUACAUUUUUGUUAGGUCAUGAAAGAUGGCAGGAUUACACAAGCUGGAAAGUAUAAUGACAUUUUCAAUUCAGGAACUGACUUUAUGGAACUUGUGGGUGCACAUAAGAAAGCUUUGUCAGCCCUUGAUACUGUUGAUGCAGGAUCUGUUUCUGAAAAAAAAAUCAGUGAGGGAGAUGGUACUACGGGAUGUGCUAAUAGGAAAGUGCAGAAAGAAGAAAAGCAAGGUAAUGGGAGUGGUAAAGUAGAUGAUGUCGGGCCAAAAGGACAGCUUGUUCAAGAAGAAGAGCGAGAAAAAGGAAAAGUUGGGUUUUCAGUCUACUGGAAGUAUAUCACAACAGCAUAUGGGGGAGCUCUUGUGCCAUUAAUAUUGCUUGCGCAGAUUGUCUUUCAGAUUUUUCAAAUUGGUAGCAAUUAUUGGAUGGCUUGGGCAUCUUCCGUGUCUGCAGAUGUCAAACCUCCAGUUGGGAGCUUUACACUAAUAAUUGUCUAUUUAGCUUUGGCCAUUGCUAGUGCCUUUUCUGUCCUUGCCAGAGCCAUGCUUCUUCGUACAGCUGGAUACAAAACAGCCACUCUUCUCUUCAAAAAGAUGCAUUUUUGCAUUUUCCGUGCCCCUAUGUCUUUCUUUGAUUCCACACCAAGUGGAAGAAUUCUAAAUAGAGUUAGUAUCGAAUGUUUUCCUGUAUGGAUUUUAAACAUUCUAUUUAUCUUUUUUUGGGGGGCAUUCCUUUCUUGGUUUUGAAGGAUUCUAUUAACGUCCUGCCUCUUUUAGGCUUCUACAGAUCAAAGUGCAGUGGAUUUGAACAUUCCAAAUCAAGUUGGUGGAUCCGCCUUUUCAGUUAUCGGGCUCCUGGGAAUCAUUGCAGUCAUGUCUCAAGUUGCUUGGCAGAUCUUUAUCAUUUUUAUCCCUGUGAUUGCAACCUGCAUUUGGUAUCAGGUAACUCUUAUAACCUCAUGUGAUAUGCUGUCUGUCAAAUUGUGGCUAUGGAAUGCUUAACCUCAUAAACUUGUAACCAUGCAGCUAUAUAUUGUAAAUCUCGAAGUCGUUUGAAAAAGCAUUCAACCUUGCAUAAUACUUGGACAUAGGAAUUCUCAUAAACUUGUAAUCUUGCAGCAAUAUUACAUAUCUUCUGCACGAGAACUUGCACGAUUGGUUGGAGUAUGCAAAGCUCCAGUGAUACAGCAUUUUGCUGAAACAAUUUUAGGAGCAACAACUAUCAGGAGCUUUGAUCAAGAAUCAAGAUUCCAAGAGACAAACAUGAUACUAACUGAUGCAUAUUCUCGUCCAAAAUUUCAUGCUGCUGCUGCAAUGGAAUGGCUGUGCUUCCGCAUGGACAUGUUGUCUUCUAUUACUUUUGCCUUCUCUUUGUUCUUUUUGAUCUCUAUACCAGAGGGAGUUAUUGAUCCAGGUAAGUGAUUGCAGAUUGGCAUCUUUAUUGACUGACAUGUCAUUGUAGAUAACAGAUGUUAAAGGAGAAUGACUGAUAGUAUUUUCUUUUGUUUAGCCAUUGCUGGUUUAACUGUGACGUAUGGACUCAAUCUAAAUAUGUUGCAAGCUUGGGUAGUAUGGAAUAUUUGCAAUAUGGAGAAUAAAAUUAUAUCUGUUGAGAGACUGCUUCAGUACAGUAGUAUUCCUAGUGAGCCUGCCCUUGUGAUAGAAACUAAUCGCCCGGACUGUUCUUGGCCAUCUCAUGGAGAAGUUAAUAUUCAUGAUCUGCAGGUAAUGCAGUUAUGCGGUGUUUAUGACUCAAAGUUGUUAUGUGUUGUUUUUGAAAUAAAUGAUGAUGUUCGAUGUAGGUGCGGUAUGCUCCACACAUGCCACUCGUCUUGCGAGGUAUGACAUGCACAUUUCCUGGAGGGUUGAAAACUGGCAUUGUAGGGAGAACAGGGAGUGGUAAAACAACUCUCAUACAAACACUUUUCCGCAUAGUUGAACCUGCAGCGGGUCAGAUUGUAAUUGAUGGUGUCAAUAUCUCAUCAAUUGGACUGCAUGAUUUGAGGUCAAGACUCAGCAUUAUCCCUCAGGAUCCUACCAUGUUUGAGGGGAAUAUACGGAGUAAUUUGGAUCCUCUUGAAGAGUACACAGACGAACAGAUUUGGGUGGUGGGUUCAUUUCAUUUUGAUUACGAGAGAAAAGCUUUUCUAGUCUGUACCAUUUAUUUUCUAAUAAAAUGCUGUGUAUAUGGUUGGUAUUUGAAGUCUGAUAUGUGUUGAUCUACGUUUCGAUUUUUUAAGGCAUUGGAUAAGUGCCAACUUGGGGAUGGAGUUAGAAAGAAGGAAGGCGGGCUAGAUUCUUCAGGUCUGAUCUUCUAUCAUAUAACAUACAAGUCGGAUGUCAUGCAAGUUGUUUAAAAUCUACUACUAAAUUCAACUGUUUAAAGAAAUGUUGAAGUAUUAUAACAUUGCUUCUGCAGUUACCGAGAAUGGAGAGAAUUGGAGCAUGGGACAGAGGCAGCUGGUCUGUCUCGGGCGUGUGCUGCUCAAGAAGAGUAAGAUCCUAGUGCUAGAUGAAGCUACGGCAUCAGUUGAUACAGCUACCGAUAAUCUGAUUCAGACAACCUUAAGGGAGCACUUUUCUGACUGUACAGUCAUAACAAUUGCACACCGGAUCACUUCUGUUCUUGACAGUGAUCUGGUUCUGCUUCUAAGCCACGGUUAGCACGGUUGUGUUAUCUAUCACUUGCUUGUAGGAUCCUUUGAACUUCAUUUCGUUUAAAACUUUUUCUAACUGUCCCAGGACUUGUCGAAGAAUAUGAUUCUCCCGCUAGAUUGCUGGAAAACAAGUCUUCAGCUUUCGCACAGCUUGUAGCCGAGUAUACUGUGAGAUCAAAUUCAAGCCUGGAGAAGUUCGACUGAAUUAGAUGAUCACGAAAAAUAUAUGGUCGGUACUCAUUGGGAAUGUUUUGUACAAGACAAGCCUAGUAGUUUCCUGGGCUUCAAUAAACACUAGUUGUAUAUUUUCCUUUUCUCUCUUCUAUCAGUCUGCCAUUAUUAAGUUACAAAGAAUUUUUAAGACAUAUGUUACGUCAAGAAAAUUAAUGUGAAAAAUUGUCAAAAACACGUGCGAAGAAAAAAAUAUUAUUAAUAUAAAGUCAACAAUUGGGUGGUGGGCCACACGUCCGUUAGUGGGGCCCAUUUCAAAAAGAAAGUGUCCAGAUUAGUAUCCCCCAAGUUUUCGUGGUGUGCAAUGAGGAUACAAGUCGAAGCAAAACUGUGAGGCUUCAGUACGGCGCCGUUUUUAUUGUCGCUUUCCGGUUUUUGGUCAGACUGGCGGGAUUUGAGUCUCCGGUUUGGUUCACCGCCAGGUGUCUGAACAAUGGCGGUUGAUAAGUUCCAACGGUUUUUUGUUAGAGUUUCCCGGGUUUUUGUGGUUCCUACUAACUUACUAUUUCAUGGUUUGAGAAAUAUUUUAAAAUUGUUUUAAAUUUAUUUAUAAUAAAUAAAAAAGACUUUUGAUACCCACAAUUAUUAUUAUUUGAGUUAUCAUCAAAUUAACCAAUGAACAUUAAUUUUUUUUUUAAUGAGAAAAGAGGGACAUUAAGUUUAAAAUAAUAAUAAAAUAAAUUUUUUAUUUAUUUUUAAAAAUUAUUUUUAUUUUAAAUUUUAAAAAAAUCAAAUCUCAUUAUCAUACAUCAAUCAAUAAAUUAAAUACUUAUAUAUUAAUUUUAAAAAUUAUUAAAAUAAUAAAAAAAUAUCUUUUUAAGUAACCGUAAAAUUAGAUUUUGAUAAUCUUUUUUAUAAAUAAAAAAAAUUAAUUCUUGAAUUAAAAAAAGGUUUUUUUUCUUUAUUGGUAAUGCGAGAGUUGUAAAAAUUUCAUUAGAUAAUUUUGCCUAACGAAAAGGUGUUUCUUUUGGCUUUUUUCUUAUUUCCCUCGCUACAGAGUCACUCUCACUCUAUAUUUCUAUUUCAUUGUAUAUCUCUUAUGUUUUGUCUCUCUCUCUCUCAAAGCUCACACCUUUCCCGGAAAGCCUCCAAUUUUUUAAUGUUCUUGGGCUAUCUUUUGAGGCUUAAGCCUCCCUUCUCCUUUGCUCUCUCCGUCUCUCAGGUCUUGGUCUCCACGCAUACCCCUUCCCCAAGUAAUCUUUUUUUGGCUUUCUCCUUUUGAGUCCCGAUAUUGACUUUAACGCUCCUUUUAAGGCUCGUUGAGAUAUAAACUCAAAAACAGGAACUCUCAGACACUUACGCAAGCAAAAUCUUCUCCAACACUGAAAACCCAAGUUUUUUCUUCAGUAAAAAGUCCAAAAAGAAUGAAAUUUUUUGCUUCAGAAUCAUUUUUGCUAAUGAGUUCAGCUUCUAGUUUUGAUUUUCUCCUAAAACCCAUGUUUCUUCAUGGGUGUUCUGCUUCAUUGCACCUAGUUUUAUUGCUUUUCUUGCUGGUCUUAUGGGUAGUGAACAGAGUUAAAGAAGCUGGUGGGGAAGGAUCAAAGGAGAGGUUAAGGCCAACGAAGGUUUUAUGGUAUAAGCAAACUUUAGCUUGUUGUUUUAUUGUUUCGGCUUUCAAUACUGUCUUGUGUUUGUUAAGUUAUUUUUAUUGGUAUAGAAAUGGUUGGUCUGAGGAUAAGUUAGUGACUCUUUCUGAUUAUGUGGUAAAAACACUUGCUUGGGGUACAACGUGUGUUUAUUUGCAUUAUCAGUUCUCCGAUUCUUGUGAACAAAAGAAGUUCCCAUUAUUGUUGAGAAUUUGGUGGGGUUUUUAUUUUUCAAUUUCUUGUUAUUGUCUUGUUAUAGACGUUGUUCUUUACAAAGAACAUGUUUCUUUCCCAAGUCAGUAUUUAGUAUCCGAUGUUUUUUCUGUUGUUACUGGUUUCUUCCUAUGUAUUGUGGGGUUUUUCGGAAGAAAUGAGGGUGAAGAUACCCUCCUUGAGGAGCCCCUUUUGAAUGGAGAUUCUAGUGUAGGUAAUGGUGUAGAGUUGAGUAAGAAAAAAGGAGGUGAUACUGUAACCCCAUAUUCAAAUGCUGGUAUUUUCAGCAUUCUUACAUUUUCUUGGAUGGGGCCUCUCAUUGCUGCUGGCAAUAAAAAACCUUUAGACCUCGAGGAUGUUCCUCAGCUAGAUAGCAGUGAUAGUGUUGUUGGGGCUGUUCAAAAUUUUAUAAACAGGCUUGCCUCAGCUGACAGUGAGGGGAGUGGAGUUACCGUGCUUAAGCUGGUGAAGGCACUACUCUUCUCAGCUUGGAAAGAUAUUCUUUGGACAGCUUUGUUAGCGUUUAUGUACACUGUGGCUUCAUAUGUUGGCCCAUAUCUCAUUGACACUUUUGUUCAGUACCUGAAUGGGCAGCGGGAGUUUAAAAAUGAGGGGUAUCUUCUGGUUAUGGCUUUCUUUGUUGCAAAGCUAGUAGAGUGCUUAUCGCAGAGGCGCUGGUAUUUUAAGUUGCAGCAAAUAGGAAUUAGGCUGAGGGCAGUACUGGUAGCAAUGAUUUAUAACAAGGGUUUAACCCUUUCGUGCCAUUCAAAGCAGAGCCACACCAGUGGGGAGAUCAUCAAUUUCAUGACUGUUGAUGCAGAGAGGGUGGGUGAGUUUUGUUGGUACAUACAUGAUCUAUGGAUAGUAGCUUUGCAAGUUGCUUUGGCCUUGGUGAUCUUGUAUAAAAACCUUGGAUUAGCAUCCAUUGCAGCUUUUGUUGCAACAGUGCUUGUUAUGUUGGCAAAUAUUCCUCUCGGGAAAAUGCAAGAGAAGUGUCAGGACAAGUUGAUGGAAUCUAAAGAUAAAAGGAUGAAGGCAACAUCUGAAAUUUUGAGGAACAUGAGAAUUCUCAAACUUCAAGGGUGGGAAAUGAAGUUUCUGUCAAAGAUUAUUGGGCUCAGGAAUAUUGAGGAAGGAUGGUUAAAAAGAUUUGUUUAUACAAAUGGCAUCACUAGUUUUGUUUUCUAUGUUGCACCCUCAGUUGUGUCUGUAGCCACUUUUGGUGCUUCUAUUCUUUUAGGAGUCCGACUUGAGUCUGGGAAGAUCCUAUCUGCGCUUGCAACGUUCAGGAUUCUUCAAGAGCCAAUCUACAGUCUUCCUGACACAAUUUCAAUGAUAGCUCAGACAAAGGUGUCUCUUGAUAGAAUUGCUUCCUUCCUCCGCCUUGAUGACUUGCAGCCUGAUGUUAUAGAGAAGCUUCCAAAAGGUAGUUCUGAUACUGCAAUUGAGAUUGUUGAUGGGAAUUUUUCUUGGGAUUUCACUUCUGCUACUGCAACGUUAAAAGAUAUAAAUUUGAAAGUUUUCCAUGGUAUGAGGGUUGCUGUUUGUGGUACAGUUGGCUCUGGCAAGUCGAGUUUGCUUUCCUGUAUUUUGGGGGAAUUACCCAAGAUAUCUGGAACUCUUAAAUUGUGUGGUACAAAGGCCUAUGUUGCUCAGUCACCCUGGAUACAAAGUGGCAAGAUUGAAGAGAACAUAUUGUUUGGCAAGGAGAUGGACAGGGAGAGGUAUGACAGAGUGCUUGAAGCUUGUACCCUCAAGAAGGAUCUUGAAAUCCUCUCAUUUGGUGAUCAGACCAUUAUUGGUGAGAGGGGAAUCAAUUUGAGUGGUGGACAGAAACAGAGAAUACAGAUUGCACGUGCUUUAUACCAAGAUGCUGAUAUCUAUCUCUUUGAUGAUCCAUUCAGUGCUGUGGAUGCUCACACAGGAUCUCAUUUAUUUAAGGUAACAUUUUUCUACUCUAAUACUGUGGCAUGUGUUUUUAAAGUUACUUUUAGUCUAUGCAGAAAGGUAUACUGCUCUAUGUGAGGUUAAUUAAUUGAAACGCUAAUAUUUGCAUUUUUGUCAGCUUGUUAUUUGUGCUUUGCCCUUUUAUUUUUGAGCUUUCUUCUUCAGUUAUUGCUUUGCCUGAGUAUCUCUGUUUGAUCUUUGAAUGACAGGAAGUUUUACUUGGCAUUUUGAGUUCAAAAACAGUGAUUUAUGUCACUCAUCAAGUUGAGUUUUUACCAGCUGCUGAUCUAAUCUUGGUAAAGCUAUUUACAUUUUCAGUGAUUUUAAUCCUAUACCUUGGAGGGUAAGCAAUAAUAUAAUUACUGGAUUCAACUUGUACAUUUUUGUUAGGUCAUGAAAGAUGGCAGGAUUACACAAGCUGGAAAGUAUAAUGACAUUCUCAAUUCAGGAACUGACUUUAUGGAACUUGUGGGUGCACAUAAGAAAGCUUUGUCAGCCCUUGAUACUGUUGAUGCAGGAUCUGUUUCUGAAAAAAAUAUCAGUGAGGGAGAUCCUACUACGGGAUGUGCCAAUGGGAACGUGCAGAAAGAAGAUAACCAAGGUAAUGAGAGUGGUAAAGUAGAUGAUGUCAGGCCAAAAGGACAGCUUGUUCAAGAAGAGGAGAGAGAAAAAGGAAAAGUUGGGUUUUCAGUCUACUGGAAGUAUAUCACAACAGCAUACGGAGGAGCUCUUGUGCCUUUAAUAUUGCUUGCACAGAUUGUCUUUCAGAUUUUUCAAAUUGGCAGCAAUUAUUGGAUGGCCUGGGCGUCUCCCGUGUCUGCAGAUGUCAAACCUCCAGUUGGGAGCUUUACACUAAUAAUUGUCUAUUUAGCUUUGGCCAUUGCUAGUGCCUUUUCUGUCCUUGCCAGAGCCAUGCUUCUUCGUACAGCUGGAUACAAAACAGCCACUCUUCUCUUCAAAAAGAUGCAUUUAUGCAUUUUCCGUGCCCCUAUGUCUUUCUUUGAUUCCACACCAAGUGGAAGAAUACUAAACAGAGUUAGUAUCUAAUGUUUUCCUCUAUGGAUUUUAAAUAUUCCAUUUUAAUUUUUUGGGCGGCAUUCCUUCCUUGUUUUUUAAGGAUUCUGUUAUUGUCCUGCCUCUUUUAGGCUUCUACAGAUCAAAGUGCUGUGGAUUUGAACAUUCCGUAUCAAGUUGGUUCAUUCGCCUUUUCAGUUAUCCAGCUCCUUGGAAUCAUCGCAGUCAUGUCUCAGGUUGCUUGGCAGAUCUUUAUCAUUUUUAUCCCUGUGAUUGCUACCUGCAUUUGGUACCAGGUAACCCUUGUCACCUCAUAUAGUAUGCUGUCUGUCGAAUUGUGGCUAUAGAAUGCAUAACCUUAUAAACUUGCAACCAUGAAGCUAUUUAUUGUAAAUCUCAAAGUCAUUUGAAAAAACAUUCCACCUUGCAUAAUACUUGGACAUAGUAAUUCUCAUAAACUUGUAAUCUUGCAGCAAUAUUAUAUAUCUUCUGCACGAGAACUUGCACGAUUGGUUGGAGUAUGCAAAGCUCCAGUGAUACAGCAUUUUGCUGAAACAAUUUUAGGAGCAACAACUAUCAGGAGCUUUGAUCAAGAGUCAAGAUUCCAAGAGACAAGCAUGAAACUAACUGAUGGGUAUUCUCGUCCAAAAUUUCAUGCUGCUGCUGCAAUGGAAUGGCUGUGCUUCCGCAUGGACAUGUUGUCUUCUAUUACUUUUGCUUUCUCUUUGUUCUUUUUGAUCUCUAUACCAGAGGGAGUUAUUGACCCAGGUAAUUGAUUUCAGAUUGGCAUCUUUAUUGACUACAAUGUCAUUGUAGAUAACAGAUGUUAGAGGAGAAUGACUGAAGUUUUUUCUUUUGUUUAGCCAUUGCUGGUUUAGCUGUGACGUAUGGACUCAAUCUAAAUAUGUUGCAAGCUUGGGUAGUUUGGAAUAUUUGCAAUAUGGAGAAUAAAAUUAUAUCUGUUGAGAGACUGCUUCAGUACAGUAGUGUUCCUAGUGAGCCUGCCCUUGUGAUAGAAACUAAUCGCCCGGACCAUUCUUGGCCAUCUCAUGGAGAAGUUAAUAUUCAUGAUCUGCAGGUAAUGCAGUUAUGUGGUGUUUAUGACUCUAAGUUGUUAUGUGUUUUUGAAAUAAAUGAUGAUGUUCGAUGUAGGUGCGGUAUGCUCCACACAUGCCACUCGUCUUGCGAGGUAUGACCUGCACAUUUCCAGGAGGGUUGAAAACUGGCAUUGUAGGUAGAACAGGGAGUGGUAAAACAACUCUCAUACAAACACUUUUCCGCAUAGUUGAACCUGCAGCGGGUCAGAUUGUAAUCGAUGGUGUCAAUAUCUCAACAAUUGGACUGCAUGAUUUGCGGUUAAGACUCAGCAUCAUCCCUCAGGACCCUACUAUGUUUGAAGGGACUAUACGGAGUAAUUUGGAUCCUCUUGAAGAGUACACAGAUGAACAGAUUUGGGAGGUGGGUUCAUUUCAUUUUGUUAUGAGAGAAAAGCAUUUCUAGUCUGUACCAUUUCUUUUCUAAUAAAAUGCAUAGUCUUUAUGAUUGAUAUUUGAAGUCUGAUAUGUGUUGAUGUAUGUUUUGAUUUUCA
rnacentral:lncRNA from 1 species